GGAAAAAACUGUCGUAUUAGUAACAAGAAAAAGAUGGAAAAAUUUAUUGAUAUAACAUUUUUAAUGAGUAUAAAUAAUACAAUUAUUAUUGAUUUAUUAAUAAGAAAAAUAAAAACUGGAGAAAAUCCAAGGUAGAAGGUUUAUUUUUCCGUCCAAAAAGAAACAUACUCCCUCGAUUGGCAGUUUUCCCAGCCCCAUCCGGUAGGUCAAUAUAUUUCCUCACAAUCCGUCCGUUUCCCACUCACAUAUGUGUAUAUUUAGCAGCGUAGGUUCAUCACUAAAUGUAGUUUUCGGACGCACGUCAUCAUCAGCCAUCCCGCACUCACUCACUCAUGUUUUAGGUGCGAAAUAGUGGAGUCUAAUUUUAAACAAACAGAUGCUAAAUAGAUUCACACCAACCACAUUCAUCCACUGUUACUACGCUAGCUUACCGGUCAACCGGUUUCAACCCGAAUGUCAUACCAUGUCAUAUGCACUGUUUACAGUAUAGGGCACAUUCGAUAGUAGGGUUCGCCACCUACUUCACCAGCUAGCUAUAAUACGUUGGAGAUCAUCCAUAUCUUCAUCACGCCCUUUUUCGCAGUGUGCGUUUUUCUGACUUUUUGUUCUUUCUUUUUUUCAGUAUGGAGACUGUUUUCCUACUAAGCAAAAUAUCGUCGUCAUCUCGGUGAAAGAAAACAUCCUAAAAUGCAUCCUCAUUCUGCAGGUUAACUGACGCAAUCGAAUGCACUUCCCAGAUGUUGACAUGCCACAUUACUCUUAGACAUUGUGAACUCCAAACAUUCCUAAAGCGCAAUCCAAAAAUAAUAAUAAUAAUAAUGAGAUAAAAGGUGAGUAGAAGAUGUUAGUUUGUCUAAGCGGCCAAAGCACCCGGUGAUCAGUAGUUCUGUCUGGUUAGCGAUGCCGGCACCCUAUGGAUGCUUCCAAUACUCGAUGCUCGAAGAAUGUUCCCUUGCAUGAACCAUAAAAUCCAGAAGUAACGGAAGAUAAAACUAGAAGUAGUCAGCUUCCGGUGCAUGGAGGAAAGCAUUUAACACGACAUCAAAACAUGUCGCAUUCUCAUUAAAUCGGUAAAUUCGGGAAAAAUUUAAGGGUUUUGUCUUAUUUUUCAACAGUUCAAAACAAUCAAUUAACUAUAAUAAAAAAUGAAUAAAUUAGUAUCUCUUAAA